UAGGGAAUCUUCCACAAUGGGCGAAAGCCUGAUGGAGCAACGCCGCGUGUGUGAUGAAGGGUUUCGGCUCGUAAAACACUGUUGUAAGAGAAGAAUGACAUUGAGAGUAACUGUUCAAUGUGUGACGGUAUCUUACCAGAAAGGAACGGCUAAAUACGGGCCAG
rnacentral:rRNA from 1 species